UGCGUAGGCGGGUCUUUAAGUCAGGGGUGAAAUCCUGGAGCUCAACUCCAGAACCGCCUUUGAUACUGAAGAUCUUGAGUUCGGGAGAGGUGAGUGGAACUGCGAGUGUAGAGGUGAAAUUCGUAGAUAUUCGCAAGAACACCAGUGGCGAAGGCGGCUCACUGGCCCGAUACUGACGCUGAGGCACGAAAGCGUGGGGAGCAAACA
rnacentral:rRNA from 1 species